CGCCCCCUCAGGCCCAGCUCGCUUGGCCGACCCGCGAGCCUGGAGCUCGGGGGCUCGGCUUGGCUGGACUCCGUGGUUGACAGUGUCACCUUGGGCAAGUCUUGCCUGCUGGGACUCAGUUUUCCUUUCUGCACCAGGCAUUUGCGGGUGGGAGGUUUUGAUCAUGAACUCCGGAGGGAAGAAGCAGGAAGCAGCAGGGCCCAGGGGUAGGAGGGCUCACAGACCCCGGGAACAGGACCGAGAUGUCCAGCUGUCCAAGGCGCUGUCCUAUGCCCUGCGCCACGGGGCCCUGAAGCUGGGGCUUCCCAUGGGGCCUGGCGGCUUCGUGCCCCUGGACGCCCUCCUGCGGCUGCCCCAGUUCCGCAGCUUCUCAGCUGAAGACGUGCAGCGUGUGGUGGACACCAACGGGAAGCAGCGGUUUGCCCUGCAGCCGGGGGACCCCAGCACGGGCCCUCUCAUCCGAGCCAAUCAGGGUCACUCCCUGCAGGUACCUGAGUUGGAGGUGAUGCCGCUGGAGACCCCGCAGGACCUGCCCCUGAUGCUUGUGCAUGGCACGUUCUGGAAGCACUGGCCCUCCAUCCUGCUCAAGGGCCUGUCCUGCCGGGGAAGGACGCACAUCCACCUGGCCACAGGACUGCCUGGGGACCCUGGUGUCAUCAGUGUCCCAGGCACUGCAGACCCCAGCUCCAGGUGUCCCUGCAGGCAUGCGGCCGAACUGCGAAGUGGCCGUGUUCAUCAACGGGCCCCUGGCCCUGGCGGAUGGAAUCCCCUUCUUCCGCUCUGCCAAUGGGGUGAUCCUGACUCCAGGGGAUGCUGAUGGCUUCCUGCUUCCCAAGUACUUCAAGGAGGCCCUGCAGCUGUGCCCCACCCGAAAGCCCCUCUCCUUGGCUGCUCAUGAAGAGACAGAAUGUCAGAGCGCCUCCAAGCACAGCUCCAGGGGAAGGAGGAUGAUCCAACAAUAAAAUAUUUAUUUAAAAAAAAAAGAAAUGUAAAAAGAUAACAAAAAAGAAACUCCAGUUUGAAACCAUGAAUUGUCAUCCUGUA